rfam:Oryza barthii chromosome 3, whole genome shotgun sequence.
AAUAAGUAUAGUUUUAGCAUUACUCAUAUUUAACGUUUGACCGUUCGUCUUAUUUGAAAAAAUAUUAUGAUUGGUAUUUUUAUUGUUAUUAUAUGAUAAACAUUAAUAGUACUUUAUGUGUGACUAAUUUUUUUAAUAUUUUUCAUAAAUAUGCCGGAUAGACAGAUAGUCAAAGCGCUAAAUACGGAUAUUUAUGGAUGCACUUAUU